UUGGAAACUAUCAAUAAUAGCAAAAUUUUAACAAAAACUAUGGUAACAGAGCUUAUGAGAAAACAUACUUUUGCACAGAAUCAUAUGAACAUUCAGACAAUUCAUUGAAGUCAAAUUAGCCAAUGUUCACCAUAUUGAACCAAAACUAACUAGAAAUUAAAAUUCAAAGACCAACAAAAUGUUUCAUAUGAAAUAAAUGGCAAAAAAGGUAAAAUUCAAAGUUCUAGUAUCAAAUAAUAACUGACAUAUGCGUACGAACUUCAAUUCCAACUCAAGAUCAAAACAACGAAUUAGGAAGAAAUUGUGAAAUUCUUGUGAAUAUCAAAUUUCCUGAAAUGGGGAAAAAUAGCGGAAUCCAGUGAUUUGGCAGCUCGAUUUCAAAGAUUAUGGCCGGACCUAGAGAUUGCCUGAAAUUGUUCAAAAUGGCAAAACCUAGAGAUUUUGGAAUGAAGACAACUCGAUUUUGGAGAUUAUGGCUGGUUUUUGUGGAGAUGAGGAAUUGCAUGAGAAUGCCACAUUUUUUCGAUAGCUAAUCUGCGGAUUUUUAUGAAUAGAAAUAAAAUGUCACAACAAACACCACCAAUGGUACCGGAAUCUGUAUACCGCUCGUCGCUCCACCUCAUACAACAUCGAGAUCUCUCAGCACCGUUCCAGAUCUUGAAAUCUCACAGACAACUCCAUCUUCGCUAUGUAAACGACGUCGAGCGACGAGAUUAACACAGCCAUUGAAAUCUAUAUACCCCGCACAGAUCGAAAUCUCACGCCACCGUACCUCGUACAACUCUUAGAUUAACGCACCUCGUUGCUCCACCUCACAGAUUAACGCCGCUCGUACGCUACACCUUGCACAGAUUGAAGUCUCGCAUCACCCCACCUCCCACUGCCGCUCCGGUGUGUGGUAAAGAGACGGACGGUAGAGAUGAUAGAUAGAGACAAGAGAGGGAGAGAUCGGAGAUGGGUCUGUGUCUGUGUCUGUGUCUGUGGGUAGGGUUUUUAAUUUUUGGUAAUU
rnacentral:lncRNA from 1 species